AACUGCGAGUGAAGCGGGAAAAGCUCAAAUUUAAAAUCUGGCAGCCUUCGGUUGUCCGAGUUGUAGUCUGGAGAAGCGUUUUCCGCGCUGGACCGUGUAUAAGUCCCUUGGAAUAGGGCGUCAUAGAGGGUGAGAAUCCCGUCUUUGACACGGACUACCAGUGCUUUGUGAUGCGCUCUCAAAGAGUCGAGUUGUUUGGGAAUGCAGCUCAAAAUGGGUGGUAAAUUCCAUCUAAAGCUAAAUAUUGGCGAGAGACCGAUAGCGAACAAGUACCGUGAGGGAAAGAUGAAAAGCACUUUGGAAAGAGAGUUAAACAGUACGUGAAAUUGCUGAAAGGGAAACGCUUGAAGUCAGUCGCGUUAUGCAGAACUCAGCCUGGCUUUUGCUUGGUGUAUUUUCUGUAUGACGGGUCAGCAUCAAUUUUGAUCGCUGGAAAAAGGCCUCAGAAAUGUGGCACCUUCGGGUGUGUUAUAGUCUGGGGUCAUAUACAGCGGUUGGGAUUGAGGUCUGCAGCACGCCUUUAUGGCUGGGGUUCGCCCACAUUCGUGCUUAGGAUGCUGGCGUAAUGGCUUUAAACGACCCGUCUUGAAACACGGACCAAGGAGUCUAACAUGCCUGCGAGUGUUUGGGUGGAAAACCCGAGCGCGUAAUGAAAGUGAAAGUUGAGAUCCCUGUCGUGGGGAGCAUCGACGCCCGGACCAGACCUUUUGUGACGGAUCUGCGGUAGAGCAUGUAUGUUGGGACCCGAAAGAUGGUGAACUAUGCCUGAAUAGGGUGAAGCCAGAGGAAACUCUGGUGGAGGCUCGUAGCGAUUCUGACGUGCAAAUCGAUCGUCAAAUUUGGGUAUAGGGGCGAAAGACUA
rnacentral:rRNA from 1 species